rnacentral:rRNA from 1 species
CUGUAGAGAUACGGGAGUGCCUUCGGGAACGCUGAGACAGGUGCUGCAUGGCUGUCGUCAGCUCGUGUUGUGAAAUGUUGGGUUAAGUCCCGCAACGAGCGCAACCCUUAUCCUUUGUUGCCAGCGGUUCGGCCGGGAACUCAAAGGAGACUGCCAGUGAUAAACUGGAGGAAGGUGGGGAUGACGUCAAGUCAUCAUGGCCCUUACGAGUAGGGCUACACACGUGCUACAAUGGCGUAUACAAAGAGAAGCGACCUCGCGAGAGCAAGCGGACCUCAUAAAGUACGUCGUAGUCCGGAUUGGAGUCUGCAACUCGACUCCAUGAAGUCGGAAUCGCUAGUAAUCGUGGAUCAGAAUGCCACGGUGAAUACGUUCCCGGGCCUUGUACACACCGCCCGUCACACCAUGGGAGUGGGUUGCAAAAGAAGUAGGUAGCUUAACCUUCGGGAG